rnacentral:rRNA from 1 species
UACAGAGACUGCGAGCGUUAUUCGGAUUCACUGGGCGUAAAGGGUGCGCAGGCGGCCGAGUGUGCGAGGCGUGAAAGCCCGGGGCUUAACCCCGGAAUUGCACCUCAAACUACACGGCUAGAGCAUUGGAGAGGGUAGCAGAAUUCACGGUGUAGCAGUGAAAUGCGUAGAUAUCGUGAGGAAUACCAGAGGCGAAGGCGGCUACCUGGACAAUUGCUGACGCUCAGGCACGAAAGCGUGGGGAGCAAAAGGG